UGGUAGUNCACGCCGUAAACGAUGAGUGCUAGGUGUUAGGCCCUUUCCGGGGCUUAGUGCCGCAGCUAACGCAUUAAGCACUCCGCCUGGGGAGUACGACCGCAAGGUUGAAACUCAAAGGAAUUGACGGGGGCCCGCACAAGCGGUGGAGCAUGUGGUUUAAUUCGAAGCAACGCGAAGAACCUUACCAGGUCUUGACAUCCCGAUGCCCGCUCUAGAGAUAGAGUUUUACUUCGGUACAUCGGUGACAGGUGGUGCAUGGUUGUCGUCAGCUCGUGUCGUGAGAUGUUGGGUUAAGUCCCGCAACGAGCGCAACCCUUAUUGUUAGUUGCCAUCAUUCAGUUGGGCACUCUAGCGAGACUGCCGGUAAUAAACCGGAGGAAGGUGGGGAUGACGUCAAAUCAUCAUGCCCCUUAUGACCUGGGCUACACACGUGCUACAAUGGCUGGUACAACGAGUCGCAAGUCGGUGACGGCAAGCUAAUCUCUUAAAGCCAGUCUCAGUUCGGAUUGUAGGCUGCAACUCGCCUACAUGAAGUCGGAAUCGCUAGUAAUCGCGGAUCAGCACGCCGCGGUGAAUACGUUCCCGGGCCUUGUACACACCGCCCGUCACACCACGAGAGUUUGUAACACCNGAAG
rnacentral:rRNA from 1 species